rnacentral:rRNA from 1 species
CACGUAGGCGGACUUUUAAGUCAGAUGUGAAAUCCCGGGGCUCAACCUCGGGACUGCAUUUGAAACUGGAAGUCUGGAGUUCAGGAGAGGUUAGCGGAAUACCGAGUGUAGAGGUGAAAUUCGUAGAUAUUCGGUGGAACACCAGUGGCGAAGGCGGCUAACUGGACUGAUACUGACGCUGAGGUGCGAAAGUGUGGGGAGCAAACA